rnacentral:lncRNA from 1 species
UUGAACCCCACCGUUGGCGUGAACACCGAGCGAAGAACCAAAAGAAAGUCGCCGCCACCGCUGUACUUCCUCCUCACCGUCGUUCAAUGCGCCGACAUUAGCUGUUGGGCUUCGCGAUGUCAACGGGGCGGGAAUCAGAGCCUCGCCAGGGGAGAUUGGGAAGCGGGGUUGAGGUUUCGCUCUCGAAAUUAAGACUCAUGACCGAUUCGACCGAGUCCUAGACCAUCAGCGUCGCUGCUUCCUCCGCCGUUGAGGUAACCUUCAUCAUGUCCACUCUCGUCUCCGCCUUCUCUAGGUCCUGUUAGGACGCGUGAUUAGGUACGGUUGGGAGCUUAAUUGCUCGCCGGUGGCGGGCAGAGUCACCGUGUCACCUUGUUCGGGCGCAGGGGGGGUUUGAGCGGGCAGAUCCAUACGGGUUGGCUAGCGGCGUCAUGGCGUUCGGUCCUCGGUCGUGUUCGUUAGAACCAUAUGGCUCAUAGGACGACGUAGCCAACGCCGACGGGGCUUACUCCGUUGCGGUGACAUGUGCGCCACUCAGUGCGCUGACAGGAGGUAGGAGACGACUAGGUACCGGUCGACAGUAGCUUGGGGGAGAAGCAUAUGCCGUUGAUAUCUAGUUCAACGGCUAAGAUUAGGAGCUGGCGUACUGAUUGGGGAAACUGUCAUGGAACGUUAGAUCGUGAUCCAGUGGCGCGGAGUGGAUCUAUGACUCAUUAAAUUCGGGUCGUUCACUGUUGAUCCAACGACUUCACGCGCGUUACGUUUCAUAAAACUUAGAUUCAAUCUGAUGGAUCCACGUCUGAUCCAACAGCCCAUUGUGGCCGAUACCUCUUCGCAGCGCUAGUUUACAUAGGGGACCCUAGAAAAUCUAGGAAUCAACCCGCCGUCCGUGUGGACUGUUUCCUGAGUCUUAGAAGUUUUACCCUGUAGCCCCUACACUUUCUGGAAAAUGAGGCCCAGUCCAGUACAGUUUGAAAUUGAAUAAAUAAAUUGGAAAAUAGAUUUUUAAUAUGAAAAUAAAUGCUAGGAAUUGUAAAAUUCAUAGCAAAUUCAUAUGAACUCCAAAUUAGUCCAUUCCAGUUCCUAAAAUUUUGUAGUAUUAUUCUCUAUCGCUUAGAGUCUCUGUUUUGUCAUGACAACAGUAAGAAAAAUAAUUUCUCAUUUAAUUCUAUUUCAAGCACAUAAAACCUUUGGAAAUUCAUAUCUCAAAAUCUAUAACUCCAAAAAUUAUGAUUUCUGUUCCUAGGAUUUUAUUUUAAUGUGUAUAUUAUUAGUAUGUAUUUUCCUUACAUGUUUGGUGUGAUGUUAAUUUUCUCUAUAUUGUGCUUGUUUAUAUUGUGGCGAGUAGAAGAACCUGUGAGUGAGGAUCAUAGUGACCAGCAGAUAGAAGUAGCUGAGCAGGAG